GAUGAACGCUGGCGGCGUGCCUAAUACAUGCAAGUCGAGCGAACAGACGAGGAGCUUGCUCCUCUGACGUUAGCGGCGGACGGGUGAGUAACACGUGGAUAACCUACCUAUAAGACUGGGAUAACUUCGGGAAACCGGAGCUAAUACCGGAUAAUAUAUUUAACCGCAUGGUUCAAUAGUGAAAGACGGUUUUGCUGUCACUUAUAGAUGGAUCCGCGCCGCAUUAGCUAGUUGGUAAGGUAACGGCUUACCAAGGCGACGAUGCGUAGCCGACCUGAGAGGGUGAUCGGCCACACUGGAACUGAGACACGGUCCAGACUCCUACGGGAGGCAGCAGUAGGGAAUCUUCCGCAAAGGGCGAAAGCCUGACGGAGCAACGCCGCGUGAGCGAUGAAGGUCUUCGGAUCGUAAAACUCUGUUAUUAGGGAAGAACAAAUGUGUAAGUAACUAUGCACGUCUUGACGGUACCUAAUCAGAAAGCCACGGCUAACUACGUG
rnacentral:rRNA from 1 species